rnacentral:rRNA from 1 species
AUUGAACGCUGGCGGCAGGCUUAACACAUGCAAGUCGAGCGAGCGGCGGACGGGUGAGUAAUGUCUGGGAAACUGCCUGAUGGAGGGGGAUAACUACUGGAACCGGUAGCUAAUCCCUCCUACCAUCAGAUGUGCCCAGUUGGGAUUAGCUUGUAGGUGGGGGAAUGGCUCACCUAGGCGACGAUCCCUAGCUGGUCUGAGAGGAUGACCGUCCACACUGGAACUGAGACACGGACCAGACUCCUACGGGAGGGAGCAGUGGGGAAUAUUGCACAAUGGGCGCAAGCCUGAUGCAGCCAUGCCGCGUGUGUGAAGAAGGCCCUCGGGUUGUAAAGCACUUUCAGCGAGGAGGCGUUACUCGCAGAAGAAGCACCGGCUAACUCCGUGCCAGCAGCCGCGGUAAUAC